UGAAGGCCUUCGGGUUGUAAAGUACUUUUGGCAGACAAGAAAAGGUAUCCCCUAAUACGGGAUACUGCUGACGGUAUCUGCAGAAUAACCACCGGCUAACUACUUGCCAGCAGCCGCGGUAAUACUUAGGGUGCAAGCGUUAAUCGGAAUUACUGGGCGUAAAGCGUGUGUAGGCUGUUCGUAAAGAAAGAUGUGAAAUCCCAGGGCUCAACCUUGGAACUGCAUUUUUAACUGCCAAGCUAGAGUAUGUCAGAGGGGGGUAGAAUUCCUCGUGUACCAUUGAAGUGCGUAAAUUUGUGAAGGAAUACCGAUGGCGAAGGCAGCCUCCCUGGGAUAAUACUGACCCUCAGACACGAAAGCGUGGGGAGCAAACGGGUAUUACUAUACGCCUGGUAGUCCACGCCCUAAACGAUGUCAACUGGCUGUUGCGGGCCGUUAGGCUCAUAGCUAGCGCAGAAUACGCGUGAAGCUCUGCACCGC
rnacentral:rRNA from 1 species